rfam:Aedes aegypti strain Liverpool supercont1.81 genomic scaffold, whole genome shotgun sequence.
CCUCUCAUGGCGUAGUGGUAACGCGCCCCAACUAGAGAUCGGGGAGUCGUGAGUUCGAUUCUCACUAAGAAGA